GUACCUGUCUAUAAGGAGUCCUGCUUAUCACAAUGAAUGUUCUCCUGGGCAGCGUUGUGAUCUUUGCCACCUUCGUGACUUUAUGCAAUGCAUCAUGCUAUUUCAUACCUAAUGAGGGAGUUCCAGGAGAUUCAACCAGGAAAUGCAUGGAUCUCAAAGGAAACAAACACCCAAUAAACUCGGAGUGGCAGACUGACAACUGUGAGACAUGCACUUGCUACGAAACAGAAAUUUCAUGUUGCACCCUGUAAGUCUCAAGCCAGUGCUGGCCAAGAGGGGGACAUAGCUGUUCUCUGAGGAACAGCUACUCCGUCUUGCAAAAUUCCAAUCUUCAGGGGUUUAGUUUUUGUUUUAGUUUUUUAUAGACUUUAUAUAGAGUAGUUUUAGAUUCACAGCAAAACUGAGCAGAGGUACAGAAAUUUCCCAUGUGCCUCCUGCCCUCACACAUGCACGACCUCCCCGUUAUCAACAUCGUCCACCACAGUGGUGUAUUUGUUAUGACUGAUGAACCUACCUUGCACAUCAUUAUCACCUGAGUCCAUAGUUUAUGUUAGGGCUUCCUCUUGGUGUUGUGGUAUUGGGGGGUUAGUUUUCAGUCCUAUUUCUUUCUUUUUAAAAAAUUGUGGGCCAGUCACAAUGGCUCACGCCUGUAAUCCCAGCAUUUUGGGGGGCCGAAGCGGGCGGAUCACGAGGUCAGGAGAUCGAGACCCUCCUAGCUAACACGUGAAACCCCGUCUCUACUAAAAAUACC
rnacentral:lncRNA from 10 species